rnacentral:rRNA from 1 species
AGUGAACGCUGGCGGCACGCUUAACACAUGCAAGUCGCACGGGCAGCAAUGUCAGUGGCGGACGGGUGAGUAACACGUAGGAAUGUGUCUUGAGGUGGGGGACAACCCUGGGAAACUAGGGCUAAUACCGCAUAUGUCCUGAGGGACAAAGCAGCGAUGCGCCUUGAGAGUAGCCUGCGUCCGAUUAGCUAGAUGGUGGGGUAAAGGCCUACCAAGGCGACGAUCGGUAGCUGGUCUGAGAGGACGACCAGCCACACUGGGACUGAGACACGGCCCAGACUCCUACGGGAGGCAGCAGUGGGGAAUAUUGGACAAUGGGCGCAAGCCUGAUCCAGCAAUGCCGCGUGGGUGAAGAAGGUCUUCGGAUCGUAAAGCCCUUUCGGCGGGGACGAUGAUGACGGUACCCGCAGAAGAAGCCCCGGCUAACUUCGUG